rnacentral:Y_RNA from 1 species
GUCUGGUUUGAAGGUAAUGAAUUAUAUCAAUUCAUUGUUAACAGUCAGUUGCAGAUUGAACUCCUUGUUCUACUCCUUCCCUCUUUCUUACUACUGCCUUGACUAAUCUUAA